GUAAAAUACGCGAACGCGCUGAACUGAAACAUCUAAGUAGGCGUAGGAGAAGAAAAUAAUAAUGAUUUCCCAAGUAGUGGCGAGCGAACGGGAAAGAGCCCAAACCAAUAAUGUUACGGCAUUUUUGGGGUUGUAGGGCUGCGAUAUGGCAUUAGCAAACAGAAGUGGAAUGGGAUGGGAAGCCCAGCGAUACACGGUGAUAGCCCUGUACACGUAUAGAAUGCUAGCCUAGCAGUACCCUGAGUACCGCG
rnacentral:rRNA from 1 species